rnacentral:rRNA from 1 species
UACGAAGGGGGGCUAGCGUUGUUCGGAAUACUGGGCGUAAAGCGCACGUAGGCGGAUAUUUAAGUCAGGGGGUGAAAUCCCGGGGCUCAACCCCCGGAACUGCCUUUGAUACUGGGUAUCUCGAGUCCGAGAGAGGUGAGUGGAAAUUCCGAGUGUAGAGGUGAAAAUUCGUAGAUAUUCGGAGGAACACCAGUGGCGAAGGCGGCUCACUGGCUCGGUACUGACGCUGAGGUGCGAAAGCGUGGGGAGCAAACAGG